AAAAGGGAUUAGCCCAGCGCUGAAUCUACACGUUCUGCGUGUCGAAAUGUGGCGUAUAGGCGGCGUUGUGCCGAUAGUUGUCUUGGCUGAAAUCCCUUUGAAAAGGGUUGCCGGAGAGGGUGCAAGUCCCUUUCAGUCAGGAUGUCUGUCGGCGUGGCGUCGUCUUGGAGUCGGGCUGCUUGAAAGUGCAGUCUAAAGUGGGUGAUAAACUUCACCUAAGGCUAAAUAUCACUGGGAGUCCGAUAGCAAACAAGUACCGUGAGGGAAAGUUGCAAAGGACUUUGAAAAGAGAGUUCAAUAGAACGUGAAAUCGCUAACGUGGAAGCGAAUGGUGUUGACAAAACGCCGCGGCAAUGGCCGCUGCGGUCUCUCUUUCUUGGUAAGAGAGGCCGUCGGCUUGUCGUCGUGUGCGUUGCGCUGACGUCGUUUAGUGUUCGCGUCGAACCGCUCGAAGUUUCCCAUAACUUGUGGAUGUCUGCGAGCGAGGAGACGUGUGACGCUGAGCGCGCCGGAGAGCAGCUGUAAGGCUGUGCGUCAGUGUAAAAGUCAACGACCCAUUCGGCCCGUCUUGAAACACGGACCGCGAAGUGUAGCUAGCAUGCGAGUCUUAGAGUGUCAAACUUUGAGGCGAAACGAAAGUAAAGGUGCUCUUUCGAGUGCUGACGUGGGAUCCGUGCAGCUUCACGGCUGUGCGGCGCACCACGGUCCUGUCUGAGCUUUUCUAAGCUGGGCAGAGAUAGAGCAUGCUGGCUGCGACCCGAAAGAUGGUGAUCUAUGUGUGAGCAGAACGAAGUCAGAGGAAACUCUGAUGGAAGUUCGCAUUGGUUUUGACGUGCAAAUCGAUCAAUAGACUUGUAUAUAGGGGCGAAAGACUCAUCGAACCAUCUAGUAGCUGGUUCCAGUCGAAGUUUUUCUUAGAAUAGCUUGGACUCAAAACGUUUAUAUACGAUAGAGAUAAUGAUUAGAGGUAUUGGGUGCGAAACGCGCUCAACCUAUUCUCAAACUUCAAACGUUUACAAUGCUUGCGGUUGCUUCGGUGAACCGCUCGCAGUAACGUCGAGUCCAAAGUGGGCCAUUUCUGGUAAGCAGAACCGGCGAUGUUGAAUGAACCAAACGUCGAGUUAAAGAGCCGGAGUUCUCGCUUAUGAGACCCCAUAAAAGGUGUUAGUUGAUAUAGACAGCAGGACGGUGGCCAUGGAAGUCGGUUUCCGCUAAGGAGUGUGUAACAACUCACCUGCCGAAUCAACUAGCCCUGAAAAUGGAUGGCGCUUAAGCGAGGCUCUUAUACUCGACCGUUGCAGUAUGUACUCUUCAAAAGUCAGACUGUAACGUGUAGACUGGUCGUGGCGUCGGUAUAGAAGGUAUUCGGUGUGAACCAUACUGGAACCGACGUCAGUGCAGCUCGCGGUAGUAGUAGCAAAUACUUAAGUUCGAUCCUUAGGGACUGAAGUGGGGAAGGUUUCCACGGGAACAGUUGUUGCCUGUGGGUAAAUCGAUCCUAAGGUGCAAGCUAACGCUCUGCGUCAGCGAGAGGGUGAAGUUCGCUUUGCUCUCGUGUGCCGAAAGGGAAUAGGGUUAAUAUUCCCUAAUGCCAAUGCAGCGAAGGCGAGUCCUUGCGGCUCGUCAGUGCGGUAACGCGAUCAAAAACGGCUAUGCGUUCUAGUGACCGGGAUAGAGAUUUCUCCUCUAUUUAAGGGUCGGACUCCAUGGAAUAGGAUCAUCCUGCGAUAUGGACGUUGUACCCGAAAAGCACCGCGGUUUCUGCGGUGUCCCGUGCUCUCUAGCUCGCCCUUGAAAAGCUGUUGGCGACAAAAAAGCUGCUUGGCAUCGUACCGAUAACCGCAUCAGGUCCCCUAGGUGAACAGCCUCUAGUCGAUAGAAUAAUGUAGGUAAGGGAAGUCGGCAAACUAGAUCCGUAACUUUGGGAAAAGGAUUGGCUCCAGAGACCAGGUCGAUUGGCCGGGUAACUGAAGUUUGUGCGGCUCCACCCAUGUCUGGCGGCGGCUUCGGCCGCAGUCGGACUAGUGGCGGUGGCCGUCUUACGGACGUUGCUCGGUGUGUGCUUGGCAUUCGUGCCCUGCAUCCUGAUCGGCCAUUCAAAUGGUCAAGCUGGAACUGGUACGGACUCAGGGAAUCCGACUGUCUAAUUAAAACAGAGGAGACAGAAGGUCCUCACGGACGUUGACUGUCUCUGAUUUCUGCCCAGUGCUAUGAAUGUUAAGUCGUAGUAAUUCGAUUAAGCGCUGGUAAACGGCGGGAGUAACUAUGACUCUCUUAAGGUAGCCAAAUGCCUCGUCAUUUAAUUGGUGACGUGCACGAAUGGAUUAACGAGAUUCCUACUGUCCCUAACUACUAUCUAGCGAAACUACAGCCAAGGGAACGGGCUUGGCAGAAACAGCGGGGAAAGAAGACCCUGUUGAGCUUGACUCUAGCUUGAUUUUGUGAAGAAUCAUGAGAGGUGUAGAAUAGGUGGGAGGCUUUGCCGUCCGUGAAAUACCACCACUCUCAUCGAUUCUUUACUCAUUCGAUUGUACGCGAGUGGGCUCUGCCCAACUUGUUGGUGUUAAGUGCCGCUAUUUGAUAGCGGCACGACGUGUGUCGAUGACAGUAUCAGGCGGGGAGUUUGACUGGGGCGGUACAUCUGUCAAAUCGUAACGCAGGUGUCCUAAGGCUAGCUCAGUAAGGACGGAAACCUUACGUAGAGCAAAAGGGCAAAAGCUCGCUUGAUCUUGACUUUCAGUAUUAGUACAGACCGCGAAAGCGUGGCCUAUCGAUCCUUUUAACCCAGAUUGUUUCUGGUAAGAGGUGUCAGAAAAGUUACCACAGGGAUAACUGGCUUGUGGCAGCCAAGCGUCCAUAGCGACGUUGCUUUUUGAUCCUUCGAUGUCGGCUCUUCCUAUCAUUGCGAAGCAGAAUUCGCCAAGCGUUGGAUUGUUCACCCAUUAAUAGGGAACGUGAGCUGGGUUUAGACCGUCGUGAGACAGGUUAGUUUUACCCUACUGUUGACAAAUCGUUGCAAAAGUAAUCCUGUUCAGUACGAGAGGAACAGCAGGCUCAAACAUUUGGUUAAUGGAUUUGGUCGAACGGCCAAUGAUCCGAAGCUACAAUUUGCUGGAUUAUAACUGAAAGCCUCUAAGUUAGAAUCCUGCCUUGUUGAGGCGAGGAUAUUCUGCUCACCGGUGUCGGUAGGCAGUCCUAUUGUGCGGCAACGCACAAGUUUAUGCCCUAGUGGUGGCCUUUCCGCAGCAGCGAUGCUUGCUGCGGUUGCCAUGCCAGACUACUCUGGUUCAACGUCGGGGCACUAAAUCACUUGUAUACGACUUGAUUACUGAUCGGGUUGUUGUACGCAGCAAAGCCGUAAUCUACACGGCGAUCUGUUGAGACUAU
rnacentral:rRNA from 1 species